CUGGCCUCGCCUUCCUGUAGGCUUUUCUGCUUCUCUGAAGGUUUUAUUUCUGUCUUUCCUUCUUUUAUUUGAGGAGAACUUUGUCAGUUGUGUAGGCGAGUGUUCUGCCUGUUUGACUGCCUGCCUCUGGGAGUGGGGAGCAGCUGGCUGCUGAGGUAGGAAAAGAGUGAAUGGAAGCCUGGACUGGAGUGUAUAGCAGCAGUGGCUGAAACAGGACUGAGCUGCAGAGAAAGCUCCUCCUGGCACUGCCUGAGUUGUGAGAACAGAAAGCAAGCUGUAGCUUCACUGGAAGCUCUGCCUCGAAUUCUGUUGACUUCCCAAUGACACGCAGCAGUAUCUUACAAAUCAUGAGGAGACCUGACAAAGAUGAACUUAAAUGAUUUUAUUGAUGCAAAACGUUCCACUGCAGUCUAUUCUCAGAGUGAUAUAUGUAAACAGUUGAAGGUGCUCUUGUAUUUCUGCCAUCAAACUUCAGCUACAGCUGGGGAAACACGUUGUCAUGAAUGCUCUUUCUUCCUAAAAAUGCUGAUUUGAAGUGCAAAGCUUCAGUGCUUUUUCAGAAGCAGUAAAAAAAAAAAAAAGAUGAAGUUCUUGAAGUAUGAGGUUUCUACCCUGCAUCAGCAAUGGAGCAGCCUUGAGGUGGGCAUGGGGCCUGUGGUUCAGGACUCCCUGGGGUUUUGCUCUCAGCCUCUGCUGCUGGAGCUGCUCUUCUUCGUGUAAAUUAAAUCUUCAUGGGAAGCACACUUAAACCUGUGGUCUGUCAUGUACUAGCUGUAUGUCAUGCCUUAUCUUUGUAUCUUGCCUGUGGUAAACAUUUAUACAUAAAAAGUAGCUCAGCUCUAAAGGAGUGCUG